rnacentral:misc_RNA from 1 species
AAGUCGUAACAAGGUAACCGUAGGUGAACCUGCGGUUGGAUCAUUACUGAAUCCCAACAAAAAGUGCGGAUCUCCUCACGGAGUGAAGCAUGAACACCGUGUGCACUUUACCUUUUGUCUUUUGCUGAUGUUCGGUGCACCCUGUGUGCAUACGGUCAGCAAAACAAUCUAUUAAACCCCUAUGUUUUCCUACUAGUCUUAUCUUGAUUUUUUAUCAAAUGAUAAAAACAACUUUUGACAACGGAUCUCUAGGCUCUC